rnacentral:lncRNA from 8 species
GGAAAAGGCCGUAGUGACUGGACACAAUCUAUUGUCAUUCUUUCCAUUGAGUGUCGUCGCCAGUUCACCCCUCCCCCGGGAAGCCUAUGGUGUCACACGUACCUGCAUGCUAUUGUGAACACCCCCCAAGAACGGAGGAGAGGCAGGUUUCUCCAUAUUUUGUCCCUCCCCUCGCGAGUGCUGUUUUAAAUAGCGAGAGAGAGCUCAGAUGUGACAUCUACACGAAGACACUUGUUGAGAGCAUCUCCUCGGGCUCACCUUACAAUCACCGUAAAGACAACUUGUUCAAGGAGAACCACGGCGCUUUUUUCCUUCAAGAAACCUUCCAAGUCACGAAAUUACAGGAAUGGACAAUAGCAGCAGACUGAUGUUCGCAGUCGUCAUGGUAAUGGCGUACAUGGCGAUGGGAGCCCAGGCCCAGAACUCCACAAUGGCCCAAAACUCCACAAUGGCCCUGAACGUCACAAUGGCCCAGAACUCCACAAUGGCCCUGAACGUCACAAUGGCAGCUAAUGCUUCUACUACAGGACUCAACAUAACAACAACCCUUAGCACAACAUAUUCCCCAGGCGUAAAUAUCACAACCAAUGGUACUAUGGCACCCAACACAACACAGACGACAGUGGUACCUGUCACAGCUGUCACGACACAGGAUAAUAUCUCAAGGAGAGAAUGUGGAAAGACUAAGCUCUGUGCAGCUGAGCCGGAAAACUGUGAUCCGGCCGUGGCUGGUUCCUGUUUCUUCGCAUCCACCAAUCAGAUCUCGGGACAGACUUUCUCCUUCCAGCUACGAGGAAUGUCCAGUGGCUACAUCGCUGUAGGCUUGUCCACAACCUCCACACUGGAUGGUAACGCCACCAUCUAUGUGUGCGCCAACAACAGCGGCAGUGUGAAAUUCUUCACCACUGUCCUUGACAAGGAACAUCUGGCCAUUACCAACAUGGACUCAGUCAACGAUAAGAUCAUCCAGUGCACCUUCAAUGCUACUGUCCCCAACGCUACGGCGACCACGGGCACCCGGGGCUCCUCCACCAGUUUCUUCUUCUCCAUCUUAAAAGGGUCAAUCAAUAACGGAACACUGGUUAAUUCCACUGUUGUCCUGUUAAGUGAUAGAUUUGUGGACCUGACCACCUACAACACUACUGUGACCAACUCUUUGAACCAGAACACCACUUCUGCUGCUACCUCCAGCCACACCUUCGGCCUGCAGCACACCCUGGCUCAAGCUCUUCUGAUCCUGCUAGGUGUACUAGGUAUGAUGAUGCUGUAAGGUCUGAAGAUGAAGCACCAUGCACUCAGGAAUCCUGCCUCCUUUCCUUUACUCACCUUGGCCAGGCUGCGUCCCUAAAUGGCACCCCAUUCCCUAAAUACUACUGUACUCCCACUAUGUAGGGAAUAGGGUGCAAUUCUGGACUCAAUCUGGUACCAGAACAAAGGAUCAUGUCAGAUCUGAAGUUAUAUGCUUAUAUAUGCAAUCAUGUUUUUCCACAUACUCAAUGAAACACCUAGUUGAGGGUAGUAAGACAUUAACUAACAGAAUGGACCCAGUGAUACAAGGCCAAGUACUAACAUAUUGUGUUGAUAGACAAUACCAUUUAAAGGAAAAAGGUAUAAAUUCAACUUCACAUUCAUCAUCUCCAUCACCACUUACCUUCUUCUAUCUUGUUGAAUACAAAACAUAAAAACCAGCCAUUUUAAUAUACGUUGAUGUUGGAGUGUUGCUGGAGUUGACGAAGAUGAAAUGUCCCAUUAAGAAAUAACAACUGGGUGUAAAAACAGAUCCUCCAUAUUUGUACUGUAUACCCCCAUGUCAUCCCCUACAUGUAACUAAUUUAUUUGUGACAGAGGAAGUUGUUUUAUAAUUCUGUAUUUGCUGAUGUCCUGUUAUGAAGUUCAUGUUAGUCUGUGUUUCUUGGUGGAUGUGUGUGAGUGAGAGUGUGACUUUGUGUGUAAAUAUUGUAUAGUGAUGAGAGACUCCACACACAUACCCCACACUUGGGACAGACGUCAAUUCAACAUCUACUAUAUUCCAUGUCGGUUCAAAGUAAUUUCGUUGAAAUAACAUGGAAACGUUGAUUAAACCAGUGUUUGCCCAGUGGGCCGUAGAUGAAGUCACAAGGGCUGCAUUUAGACAGGUAGACAAGUUCUUAUACUUUUACCAAUAAUUGGUCUUUUGAACAAUAACAUUUAUUUUUCAGAGCUGAUCAAAAGACCAAUUAGUGUGUGUGUAUGUAUUGUUUAUGUGUGUACUUUGAUGAAGCCACUGGAUGGUGAACUGUUCUACCUGACUACCCUUUUAAAUUAAAUAUUUGCAUUACACAAUAAAAAUGAACUUUUAUUUACAAUGCAUAUUUUAUUAUCUUUCAUGGGCAUAUUUUUACUUAAUCUAUUGACACUGAAACCGACAACAUCUAACAUACUGUAAUAUACACGUAAAAUCUGACACGGGCUCAACUAGGGCAGCAGGUAGCCUAGCGGUUAAGAGCGUUGAGCCAGUAACUAAAAGGUUGCUGGUUUGAAUCCCUGAUCUGACGAGGUGAAGAAUCUGUUGAUGUGUCCUCAAUUAGGCAAGGCACUUAAUGUCAUAAGCGUCGUAGUGAGUGGACCAAAACGCA